rnacentral:rRNA from 1 species
AACUAACGCUGGCGGCGUGCCUAACACAUGCAAGUCGUACGAGAAAGCCGGCUUCGGCUGGUGAGUAAAGUGGCGCACGGGUGAGUAACGCGUGGAUAAUCUGCCCUUAAGUGUGGAAUAACGUACCGAAAGGUGCGCUAAUACCGCAUAAUGCCUGGCAACACAAGUUGUCCGGCCAAAGAAGGCCUCUGUUUACAAGCUUUCGCUUCAGGAUGAGUCCGCGUACCAUUAGCUUGUUGGUGGGGUAAUGGCCUACCAAGGCUGCGAUGGUUAGCUGGUCUGAGAGGAUGAUCAGCCACACUGGAACUGAGACACGGUCCAGACUCCUACGGGAGCAGCAGUGAGGAAUAUUGCGCAAUGGGGGCAACCCUGACGCAGCAACGCCGCGUGAGUGAGGAAGGUUUUCGGACUGUAAAGCUCUGUCGAGCGGGAAGAAGUGUACCAUGGCUAAUAUCCAUGAUAUUUGACGGUACCGCUAGAGG